rnacentral:rRNA from 1 species
CCUACGGGAGGCUGCAGUGGGGAAUAUUGGACAAUGGGGGGAACCCUGAUCCAGCCAUGCCGCGUGUGUGAAGAAGGCCCUCGGGUUGUAAAGCACUUUCAGUGAGGAAGAACGCCUGGUGGUUAAUACCCAUCAGGAAAGACAUCACUCACAGAAGAAGCACCGGCUAACUCCGUGCCAGCAGCCGCGGUAAUACGGAGGGUGCGAGCGUUAAUCGGAAUUACUGGGCGUAAAGCGCGCGUAGGUGGCUUGAUAAGCCGGUUGUGAAAGCCCCGGGCUCAAACUGGGAACGGCAUCCGGAACUGUCAAGCUAGAGUGCAGGAGAGGAAGGUAGAAUUCCCGGUGUAGCGGUGAAAUGCGUAGAGAUCGGGAGGAAUACCAGUGGCGAAGGCGGCCUUCUGGACUGACACUGACACUGAGGUGCGAAAGCGUGGGUAGCAAACAGGAUUAGAUACCCCUGUAGUC